ensembl:lncRNA
GAAAAGUUAUUGUUAUUCAAGUGAGUAUUGUGUUGUGUUAAGCUGGAGAGCCACAGGAAGUCAAGUACCAGAGGAUCUGCUGGGCAGCGCCCCAUGUGUGGUGAUUCUGUUGAUCCCAGUCCCCAUAGCACCCUGUUUUGACCACAGGUCCAAGACUUUCCUCCAUGAUUAGGAGCCUCCUGCUCCUCCCUGUCACUCAGCUUUGUCGUGUUCUGCCUGGCUUCAAAGCCUUGCUUAGGAGGCUGGAAGGCAUUGUGUAUUUGGGCUCCUUGGGUGGCUUUGGGAUUCCAGUAGCAGGAAUACCCUCUCAGCCAUGAAUAUCCAUGUGAUCCCAGCCAUGAAAAGUGAUGUUCAGAAUCGAAGAUGAUGAAAUCUUUUCAUUAAAGAGGAAGAAAUUGGACUGACUGUUGCCAUCUCUCCUCCGCUCCCCCCAGCGUGCUCCGAAUUCCCCUCAGAGCAGAUCUGUCAGUCUGCGCUAUGCGGGGCUGCACUUGUAAUCAUUUAUCUCCAGUUAUUUUAUUUCUGCCGGUUUCUGAGCUAAUAACAACUGAUGAGGGCUCAUCUUCUGCUCUAGGCACCUUCCCUU